CCGUGGUACACACUACAAUUCUAGUGAAGGAUCUGAGCGACAAUAUUUUUACCUCUUUAGCCACAUCAUGGAGGCAAUUUCCCAUGAAAUCAAGAAGCAUUCCUUUCAUUGUUUCAGACAUUUUAAUUCCAUCAGGUAGACAUGAUCCAAGAAGGAAUAGCAAACCCCCUGAGACAAGUUCUUCUCCUCUUGCUCUCAAGAAACUUCCCAUGUCGAUCUUGAACUGAUCAUGGUACGCUUCCGCGACCUCUUCCGAGAAUCCAGUGCAAUGAAUGUCCUUGUUCCAUGCUGGAGAGUUUCUAUCCGCGAUCCCUUUAGGAACUUGGGACAACCAAUGAAGCGAAUAAGAACAAUGUCCCACAUGGAGACUGUCUCGAGGAAGAACACGACCAAAAAAAGAACCCGGAACUCCAGCAACAAAGUAUUUUUUGGUCGGAGGGAGUGUUUGAAAAAGAGUGUUGAAAUCAUUCUUGAAGUGAUCGUUAAAGAGAACUUGGAACUCAAUGUUACCGUCCGGAUUUUGCUGAGUUUCCUUGCGAUACUUUUCUUCCACAGCAUCUAUUAUGUUUUGUACUGCAAGAAAAGUAUUAGGUCCAGUGGAACAACCGAAAUCCGCUAUGUUAAAGCGACUGGAAGCUGAGUUGACGUUGAGUUUGGUCGAGAUAGCUUCAUUGAUUUUUUCCUUUGCGACUUCAAGUAACGCUCUCUACAAUGAUCAACCCCAUCAUCAAUGGACAGCAUACUUCUUAGAUUUAAAGUUCUCAUGUCUCAAAUUAACUUAAAGCUCAAUUAAAAAGAAGAACCAAAUUUAACAUUAAAUAUAUUAAUAACCCCAAAGACAAUGAUCAGUUAUAUCAAUAAAACAAUAUGUUCUAUAUUUUCAAAGUUCGUCAAAUUUAAAUAUAUUUGAAAAAAAAAGACUUAAACAAUUUAAAACAUCGUCGACAUUUAAUUUGAUUCAAACUUCAACAAUUUCAACAAUUCCAGCACCAUAUUCUCCUUCAGUCUCGGACCAUCCAUUAGUAAUACACCGUUUUAGAGAAUUUUUGACCGUCCGGAAUUUUUUUUUAUUUACCUCUUUAGCCACAUCAUGGAGGCAAUUUCCCAUGAAAUCAAGAAGCAUUCCUUUCAUUGUUUCAGACAUUUUAAUUCCAUCAGGUAGACAUGAUCCAAGAAGGAAUAGCAAACCCCCUGAGACAAGUUCUUCUCCUCUUGCUCUCAAGAAACUUCCCAUGUCGAUCUUGAACUGAUCAUGGUACGCUUCCGCGACCUCUUCCGAGAAUCCAGUGCAAUGAAUGUCCUUGUUCC
rnacentral:lncRNA from 1 species